GGUCUCCUACGGGAGGCAGCAGUGGGGAAUAUUGCACAAUGGGCGCAAGCCUGAUGCAGCGACGCCGCGUGCGGGAUGGAGGCCUUCGGGUUGUAAACCGCUUUUGUUCAAGGGCAAGGCACGGUCUUUGGCCGUGUUGAGUGGAUUGUUCGAAUAAGCACCGGCUAACUACGUGCCAGCAGCCGCGGUAAUAUGUAGGGUGCAAGCGUUAUCCGGAUUUAUUGGGCGUAAAGUGCUCGUAGGCGGUUCGUCGCGUCCGGUG
rnacentral:rRNA from 1 species